GAAAUGCGAUACGUAAUGCGAAUUGCAGAAUUCAGUGAAUCAUCAAAUCUUUGAACGCAACUUGCGCUUCCGGGAAGUCCCGGGAGCAUACUUCUCCGAGUAUCGAUUACAACCAAACUCGACUGCGUGUUGAUUUAUCAGCAGGCUGAGUCGGAUAUUGAGGGUGUCGGUCUUGAAAAGAGAUCGACUCCCUUUAAAUACAUUGCUACUUUUCGGUCGCAUGUUUUCUUGGCUCGCUAGAAUCGGGCUCCAACAUGCUGAUGUUGCUAACAGCGCAAACAACGUUUGCACCUAGACAUCUGGCAUGGGAGUAUACCAAACCGCCUAGUGUGGUCAGGGUUGACCCCUAAGUCGAAAUAAGGAACUCAGAAUCUCGGUUCUGAACUGAAACUUGAUCUCG
rnacentral:misc_RNA from 1 species